rnacentral:rRNA from 1 species
GUCUAUGGCCAUGCUACCCUGAACAAGCCCGAUCCCGUCUGAUCACGGAAGCUAAGCAGGGUUGGGCCUGGUAAGUACAUGGAUGGGAGACCAUACAGGAAGACCAGGUGCUAUAGGCA